AAAGGAUUUCAAUAUACAUUUUCAAUAAUAGUAGGAGAAUUGCCACUUCACUAAAAAGGCUCCAUGGAUAACCACACGCUCGGAACAAGAAGAAGACUCAAGAAAGGCUUGAUGGAGCUCAAGAAUCAAUUGGGUUAAUUGUUGGAGAGGAGCACUACCACCAUCUCUACCACGUUAUUCUCGUUACAAUGGUUUUUCUUCGCCAUCGGUCACCAACUAUAUCAAGAAAUUCUCUUCUAGGUUGUAACUUCUGUUUCUUUUGAGGUUAAUGGUUGUCACUUUAACAUUUGUUUAUAGCCCAUAUUGGCUACUUCAUGUGUUAUUGUUGAAAACUUUGAUCUUUGUUCAUGUGGUUUGCCCUUAUUGACUCAUAAGGAUUCAAGAGUACCAAUUUGAGAUUAAUGGCCUUUGGGGUGAGGCUAAGCUUUGGUUUGAUAUUACAUAUUGAAAAUUCACUAAUGAGAACUCAGUGAUCUGCGGGCUUAAGCCUUAGAAGAUUUUAGUGUUUCUUGGGCUAACUUGGCCAACUAUCUCAAUCCAAAGCUAUCUCGAUAGAAUAUACAAGUAUGCGAAUUGCAGGUUGUCUUGCUUUAUUGUAGCAUACGUUUAUCUUGAUUGGUUUGCUCAAAGGCAAUCCUUGUCGCCCUUUGAUUCUUUCAAUAUUCAUCGCCUGCUUAUUACUAGUGUGCUGGUUGCUACAAAGUUCAUUCCUUCAUGGACGAUAGGUUUACUCGUCACAAAGGAUUUAAGGAGGGUCGUUAAAGAAUUGUUAUGGUCAUAGAUUUGGUUGGAAAGAGAAUUGACAUUGAACGUAUUAGCAUUUUCAUAAACUAUGACAUGCCAAUUUCUGCUGAUACAUACCCACACAUAGUAGGCCUUGUUUCAAUUGUAAUGUCAUACUGAUCUUACUUCUAGUUUUUUUAGUAUAGUUAUUUGACUAAUGUUUUGUGGACUAGUGACGAUACGUUCUUGUCACAUGGAUUAGUAAUUUGUAAGCAUAUUAAUUGGAGCUUGUUGUUAACUAUGUUUAGUUUAUAUCUCCUUUAGUUUUAUGGUUAA